rnacentral:rRNA from 1 species
UACGUAGGGCGCAAGCGUUAUCCGGAAUUAUUGGGCGUAAAGCGCUCGUAGGCGGUUUGUCGCGUCUGCCGUGAAAGUCCGGGGCUCAACUCCGGAUCUGCGGUGGGUACGGGCAGACUAGAGUGAUGUAGGGGAGACUGGAAUUCCUGGUGUAGCGGUGAAAUGCGCAGAUAUCAGGAGGAACACCGGUGGCGAAGGCGGUUCUCUGGGCAUUACCUGACGCUGAGGAGCGAAAGUGUGGGGAGCGAACAGG